AUGUUUGGUAAGGUCAGGCUGCAGCUGCACAUUGCAAAUGAAGUGAUCUUGCAGUUCGAUCUGGCGCAAGAGCACCGAGCCCUCACGGCUGCCGAGAGAAACCAGAGAAAAACUCUGAAGCAAAAAGUGCUAGGUUUGGCUGCAAUUGAGCGGGCAAGAAAGAGGCAGGCAUCCAGAGUGAACUGGCUACGUGCAGGAGAUGCCAACACGCGUUUUUUCCAUGCAAAAAUGCAGUCUCGCCGUAGGAAGAACUUCAUCCAUGCAAUCUACAGCAACGACAGAGUUGUGGUGGAUCACAACGAGAAAGAAAAGGUCAUCUUUGAUCACUUCACUGAAUCUAUGGGCCGUAGCAAGCACCAAAGAUGCACCCUGAAUUGGGACAGUCUGAAUAUCCCGGUUGUGGCCUCAACCGAUCUGGACGGGCCGUUCACCAUGCCCGAGGUCUGGGCGGCGAUCCUCGCGUCCCCCACAGAAAAGGCCCCGGGUCCAGAUGGCUUCACUGGGCAGUUCUACCGCUCAUGUUGGCCGAUCAUCAAGGAGGAGGUCAUGGCUGCUUUCAAUAAGUUCUAUCAGAUGGCAGGGAGUAAUUUCACCGAGCUGAAUUCUGCGCUCAUUGCCCUGCUGCCGAAAAAAACGGCGCGCCAGAGAUCAGCCAUUACAGAUGUUGGGGAACGUAGUAUUUCAAAAAAUGUCCUACGACCACGCAAGAUCUAUCUAGGAGAAGCAUAG
rnacentral:rRNA from 1 species